UAUUCUGAUAGUUAGGGAUCAAAUUAAAUUGGAUGAGCUGAAGAGAGGAAGGAAUGUGGGUUUAUUAUCAAAUUUACCUUUUUCCCAACUCUCACCAAGUAUGACAAAAUGAAUUUUUAUUGGUCAUCUGCUUACUUUCCAAAAAUGAGCUGGAAUUUGUUUUUCCGUUUCUAGGACAUGCAAACGCAUGCUUUCCACCAGUCUAUCUUUCAAUUAUGUGUUAGAUGUUCUAAUGCACAUACAUAUCAUGUGCUAUUAAUGUUUUUGCUUCUUCUGCAAAUUUCCAGGUCAUGUUAACUGUAUAAAAGUUUGACAUUGGUUCCCUGGUGGUGAGUACUUAAAGAUCUACCAUAUGGCAGGAGAGCAAAAGGCCUAUAUAUAUACACACUUGGUUUCUGAACUUAUGCUCGUGCUUUAGUGAGGCUUGGAUGAUCUGUUUGAAAAAGUGAAACUAUCCUCUUUGUAACUUUCAACUCGAGUAAUAUCUGAAUAAAGUACUUGUACUUCUCCAACAGUCCAUCUUCUUGAAUUUUUUAUUGCAUAUCUUGUUUUAUCCCGGCCAUAUAUAAACGAGUAAAAUUGACUAUUUUUCGCUGGGGGUUUAUACUUU
rnacentral:lncRNA from 1 species